ACUCUUGAAAAUGAACUGGCCAAUGAGAAGAUGAAAUAUGACUCAAAGACCAAGGAGCUCCAGGAUGCUUUGGAGCAGUCCAAUGAGGAGAUGGCAGAGAAAGACUUCCUCCUAACAGAGAAGGAGAUUAAUCUGAAGGAGCUGGAAGCUGCCGUAAAGACAUUCAACUGCACACUGCAGGAAAAAGAUCAAUUGCUACAGGAGGGCCAUGUGUGCACAUGCCCUGACAUGACCACUGGUCACCAUCAGGAAUCAGUGUUACAGCAGCAGGUUGAAGAGGUGAAGGAGAAUUCUGAG
rnacentral:lncRNA from 1 species